rnacentral:rRNA from 1 species
GAUCCUGCUCAGGACGAACGCUGGCGGCGUGCUUCAUACAUGCAAGUCGAACGAGAAAUUCACUUCGGUGGAUGGAAAGUGGCGGACGGGUGAGUAAUGUGUAGAGAAUCUGCCCUAGAGCGGGGGACAACAGCUGGAAACGGUUGCUAAUACCCCAUAUGAGCGUAUCUGAAAUGGUAUUCUUGAAAACUCCGGUGCUCUAGGAUGAGUCUGCAUCUGAUUAGCUAGUUGGGGG